rfam:HIV-1 isolate 1182.48-3186-20030506 pol protein (pol) gene, partial cds.
AUAGGGUCAGUGUUAGUAGGACCGACACCUGCCAACGUAAUUGGAAGGAAURUACUGACUAAGAUUGGUUGUACGUUAAAUUUUCCAAUCAGUCCUAUUGAAACUGUACCAGU